rnacentral:lncRNA from 1 species
AAGUCCGAAUACUUUGCAAAAUGUUUCAAAGAAUUCAAGUAAUGUAAGUUGAUGAGUAAGACAUCUAAAGUAAUUACCUCCUUAGAUUUGAUCCAAGGAAAAGUAACACUUUAGAUGAGUUUCCUUGAAUAGAUAUCAAGGAAAAAUAGCAUCGUAAGAUAAUGAAUUUCUCCAUUAGGAGAAGAACGAACUCGAAUAAGAUUUGGUUUGUUAGAAGUUAUCUAUUACCCAUAUAUAGGAUAUAUAUAUACUUCUAAAAACAAUAUGAUUGUCAAUUAGAAGAUCUUCCAAAAUUUUCACAUGACUCCAUAAGAUGUAGUUGGAAAGAAAGACAAAUCUUAAGCAUGUUAAGAUUUGGGGUUGUGUGCUUAUAAGCAAUAUUUGUUUGAUAACAAUCUUGUAGGAUAUCCUUAAAUUAACUUUUGGAUAUCGCUUCUAUAAACCAACUAACAAAUGUUGUUUUGUUGGGUAGUUCAUUGUAAUCCUACAAUGUGAUUUGCCUAAGAGCAAAUGAACGAGAGAUAGAACUCAAAGAAUGGGUUCUUUGAGUGACAAGAAAGUAAUCAACAAAUAUAACAACCUAGUUCCUACACCACAAGCUCCAAGGUAGUCGAGAAGGAUUUAUAAACCGUCUCAGUUGAAUGGUUUGAACUUUAUGACUAUGUCAUAGAGUUACACCUCUUAAUUCGAAAGAAAUAAGAAUGAAAAUCCUUAUGACUACAUUGAGUGCAUAUACGAUAUAUACUC